rnacentral:rRNA from 1 species
UACAGAGGGUGCGAGCGUUGUCCGGAAUCACUGGGCGUAAAGGGCGCGUAGGCGGUCUGCUAAGCGUGUGGUGAAAGCUCGGGGCUCAACCCCGAGUCGGCCGUGCGAACUGGUGGACUGGAGCACGUCAGAGGCAGGCGGAAUUCCGGGUGUAGCGGUGGAAUGCGUAGAGAUCCGGAAGAACACCGGUGGCGAAGGCGGCAUCCUGGACCGAGAUUGACGCUGAUGAGCGAAAGCUAGGGGAGCAAACGGG